UCCGGCUUCCCUGGGCUUGGCGCGCUCCGGCCCUGCCUGACCCCUCCCAACACUCGCAGCCACGCCGGGCUUUGGCUGCCUGUCUCCGCCGCCGCAAUGAUGAUGAUGGCGCUGAGCAAGACUUUCGGGCAGAAGCCCGUCAAGUUCCAGUUGGAGGACGACGGCGAAUUCUACAUGAUCGGCUCUGAGGGUCCAGGACGCGCCCGGAUGCCGGGGCUGGGGCGUCCUGGUGGCCCCUGGUUCCAUGAUGAGUUCCAAAACUCCAUCGGGAAGCACAGAAGCGGGGUUUUUAGUCGUCCCCUGCCACACCUUGGGGGGAAGAUGUUGGACCCCCCCCACAUGCAUCCUUUCCCGUUGCUGCAACUGGGACCCUGAAAUCGCAGGUUCGAAGCACCCAGCUUAGUGAGGACUCACCCGCACUGCGUUCAUUGACUUCGAGGUGGGCAGGGAGGUGUUUUGACCUUUAAUUAAUGGUGAGGAAACAGGUUGGGAGGAAGAUGCUUGCUUUUGGAUGGAUAAGGCUCCAGUUUGUGAGUUAGAUCUAUCAGCAGUUUCGGAAGCAGGUGACACUUUGAAUGUCGUGGACUGACUUUUUUUUUAAAGAGCCUAACGAUCUUUAAUCCUUAGCUAAAGUGGCAGCAGUUCGUAGAGUCAGCUGGAUGACUAACUUUAGGAAAACCCUACAACUGGUCCUUUAUUGGUAGUUCAUACAAAGUAUAUUAAGUUUUUCCAGAUUGCCUCAAACUAAUCCUUUUUGGCAGUCCCCAGUUAGUGUGUGUAUACACACACUUACACGCAUGUAUUUUUAAAUUAUGCAUAUACAAUUCAGAUGUGCAACUACCAAGCAGUAGUGUCCCCCACAUGUAAGGAGGUAAGUGGAAGUCCGGAGGUGUUAAAGCAGAUAACAAAUGCUGACGGUUUUCCAUAUUAAACAUUUCAUCCUUUUCUUUUCCCCCAGGCUGUACCUGCGCAUGUAGAAGUUCCUAGGCUAGGGAUUGAAUUAGAACUGCAGCCACAGGCCUAUGCCACAGCCACAGCAACACUAGAUCCAAGUCUCGUCUUCGACCUACACCACAGCUCACCGCAGUGGUGGAUCCUUUACCCACCGAGUGGGGCCAGGGAUCGAGCCCGAAACCUCAUGGAUACUAGCUGGGUUUGUCAUCGCUGAGCCACAAGGGGAACUCCCCCCCCUUUUUUUUUCUUCACAAUGUUUGGGUUUUUUCCUUCACAGUUGAACAUGGUGUGAAUGAAUUAAGUCUUAUAAUGGUCACACUGGGGCUUUCAGGACACCCUGUAAUCCUUGGCUCCUCUGAGUUUUAUUGAGUUAUGAGACCAUUGUUGUCAGUAGCAACAGAACUCUAGUGUUUCCAUUUUUUACCAGUUUUUAUAAAACACAAGGGACAGGAUGUAAUACAUUUUCCCUGUCAUCACAGAAAUGCUACCCUUGAAAGCUAGCUGUGCUGGGGAGGAACCAGUCCCUGCCAUAGCUCAGAAUGGUCCUCAUGGAGUGGUAGGUACCUGCUCAAAUGUGGGAUACAAAGGCAGGAGAGGAGUUUCAGUCUGUGAUAAUGAGCAGAUUGUUUAAAGAAACCUUUAUGUGAUCUAAUGGACAGGAAGAGCAGUCACUUUGGCCUUGGCUCUGAGUUGGAGAUACACUUUUGAAAAUCCAGGUUGCAGAAGUUUCCUGGUGGCCCAGCAGGUCAAGGAUCCAGCAUUGUCACUGCCAUGGCUCUGGUUACAGCUGUGGCUCAGGUUCAAUCCCUGACCUGGGAAUUUCUGCAUGCCAUGGGUGGGGGCAAAAAAAAAAAAAAAAAAAAAAAAAAAAA
rnacentral:tRNA from 1 species